AGGUCGGCGGCGGACGAACGUCCUCGCCAACCCGGUCAGGUCCGGAAGGAAGCAGCCGUAACGAGUUUUCGUUUGGGUCGCAUUGUCGAUCUUCC
rnacentral:SRP_RNA from 1 species